rnacentral:rRNA from 1 species
GGAACUUGCUGACAGGUGAGNUGGUGCCGAAAGGGAGCCGUAACACAGGUGCUGCAUGGCUAGUCGUCAGCUCGUGUCGUGAGAUGUUGGGUUAAAGUCCCGCAACGAGCCGCAACCCUUGUUCCCUAGUUGCUACGCAAGAGCACUCUAGGGAGACUGCCGGUGACAAACCGGAGGAAGGUGGGGAUGACGUCAAGUCCUCAUGGCCCUUAUGGGUAGGGCUUCACACGUCAUACAAUGGUCGGAACAGAGGGUUGCCAAGCCGCGAGGUGGAGCCAAUCCCAGAAAACCGAUCGUAGUCCGGAUCGCAGUCUGCAACUCGACUGCGUGAAGCUGGAAUCGCUAGUAAUCGCGGAUCAGCAUGCCGCGGUGAAUACGUUCCCGGGU